GACGUAGGGCGCGAGCGUUGUCCGGAUUUAUUGGGCGUAAAGAGCUCGUAGGCGGCUUGUUGCGUCAGCUGUGAAAACCCGCAGCUCAACUGUGGGCUUGCAGCUGAUACGGGCAGGCUUGAGUUCGGUAGGGGAGACUGGAAUUCCUGGUGUAGCGGUGAAAUGCGUAGAUAUCUGGAGGAACACCGGUGGCGAAGGCGGCAUCCUGGACCGACACUGACACUGAGGAGCGAAAGCCAGGGGAGCAAACGGG
rnacentral:rRNA from 1 species